rnacentral:misc_RNA from 1 species
GAUGAAGAACGUAGCGAAAUGCGAUACUUGGUGUGAAUUGCAGAAUCCCGUGAACCAUCGAGUCUUUGAACGCAAGUUGCGCCCGAAGCCAUUAGGCCGAGGGCACGCCUGCCUGGGCGUCACACGUCGUUGCCCCCCCAUCUACUCCUUCGGGAUUGCGGGGGGCGGAUGAUGGCCUCCCGUGCGCCUCGUCGCGCGGUUGGCAUAAAUGCCAAGUCCUCGGCGACGCACGCCACGACAAUCGGUGGUUGCGAAACCUCGGUUGCCCGUCGUGUGCGGUCGUCGCGCAUCGAGGGCUCGAAAAAAUUGCCGGGCUCCGGCUCGGCUUUCAACGCGACCCCAGGUCGGGCGGGGUUACCCGCUGAAUUUAAGCAUAUCAAUAAGCGGAGGA